GACGAACGCUGGCGGCGUGCUUAACACAUGCAAGUCGAACGGUGAACUUGGAGCUUGCUCCAGGGGAUCAGUGGCGAACGGGUGAGUAACACGUGAGUAACCUGCCCCAGACUCUGGAAUAAGCGCUGGAAACGGCGUCUAAUACCGGAUACGAGACAGAGAGGCAUCUCUACUGUCUGGAAAGUUUUUCGGUCUGGGAGGGACUCGCGGCCUAUCAGCUGGUGGGUGAGGCAACGGCGCACCAAGGCGUCGACGGGUAGCCGGCCUGAGAGGGCGACGGGCCACACUGGGACUGAGACACGGCCCAGACUCGUACGGGAGGCAGCAGUGGGGAAUAUUGCACAAGGGGCGGAAGCCUGAGGCAGCGACGCGGCGUGAGGGAUGACGGCCUUCGGGUUGUAAACCUCUUUCAGCAGGGAAGAAGCGAAAGUGACGGUACCUGCAGAAGAAGCACCGGCUAACUACGUGCCAGCAGCCGCCGUAAGAC
rnacentral:rRNA from 1 species